GAAAUUUUAUAAUUUAAGCUUCUAACUUAAAAAAGAGCAAUUAAUUUUGUUCAAAUUUCU
rnacentral:tRNA from 1 species